UAGCUCAAUGGUUGGGCGUUGGCUUUGAGAGCCACAGGUCGGUGGUUCGAACCCACC
rnacentral:tRNA from 1 species